rnacentral:rRNA from 1 species
UACGUAGGGGGCGAGCGUUAUCCGGAUUCACUGGGUGUAAAGGGAGCGUAGACGGCCAUGCAAGCCAGGGGUGAAAGCCCGGGGCCCAACUCCGGGACUGCUUUUGAAACUGUGUGACUGGAGUGCAGGAGAGGUAAGCGGAAUUCCUGGUGUAGCGGUGAAAUGCGUAGAUAUCAGGAGGAACACCAGUGGCGAAGGCGGCUUACUGGACUGUAACUGACGUUGAGGCUCGAAAGCGUGGGGAGCAAACAGG